AUGGCCAGGACUCCUCUCCUCCUCGGCCUCCUCAUUCAUUGCACAGGUUCUCUGGGCUCUUAUGAGCUGACUCAGCUGUCCUCCAUGUCGGUGGCCCUGGGACAGACACCCUGUAUCACCUAUGGGGGAAACAACAUUGGAAGGAAAAGUGCUUACUGGUACCAGCAGAAGCCAGAGUUGGUCAUCUAUAGUGAUAGCAGCCAACCCUCUGGGAUCCCUGACCGAUUUUAUGGCUCCAACUCAGGGAACACAGCCACCCUGACCAUCAGCAGGGCCCAGGCCAAGGACAAAGCUGACUAUUACUGUACUAAGCCCAAUGACAGUGCUGGAAGCUUUGAUAGUGAGGAUGGUGCAGGAACCAUCCAAACAGCCGAUGGGAAACCCCAUCACAUGAACCAGUGA